rnacentral:tRNA from 1 species
CGGGAUGUGGGAAAGCCCGGCAAUCCGCCUGGCCUGGGACCAGGAGAACGCCGGUUUGAACCCGGCCAUCCCGA